rnacentral:rRNA from 1 species
CCGCAUAACGUCGCAAGACCAAAGAGGGGGACCUUCGGGCCUCUUGCCAUCGGAUGUGCCCAGAUGGGAUUAGCUAGUAGGUGGGGUAACGGCUCACCUAGGCGACGAUCCCUAGCUGGUCUGAGAGGAUGACCAGCCACACUGGAACUGAGACACGGUCCAGACUCCUACGGGAGGCAGCAGUGGGGAAUAUUGCACAAUGGGCGCAAGCCUGAUGCAGCCAUGC